rnacentral:lncRNA from 1 species
AAAUGCUAGUCAGCUUUCUUCCCCGUAGCUUGUACACUUUCUUUGAAAAUCGAUCUAUUUGAAGAAAAACAGCCCUGUUUUUCUCGUCUUUGGUGUUGGGGGUUGGGGGGAGCUGGUGGGUGAGGGAAAGGAAGACCUUUUCUUUGUGUAGAGAGACUAAAGCCGUCACAGGAAACUAGAUUAAAACUGGAAAACAAGUCCUAGCUGGUUCCAGCAAACACCAACGUUAAGUGGGGGGUAUUUUCUAUGGUGGUUGGGCGGCUGGUGCGUCUUGUGCCUUUUGUUUGAUUUGACUGUAUUUUCGCCUUUUGUCUCUUAAUGACGAUCACACCAUUGCUAUAUCCAGAGCAGUAAACAGUCCUCAGCGAAGCCGCCUUUUUGCCUACCCAACCCUGGAAAGUUUGCAGAAGUGGAAGGAGCAGAACGUGAGGGUGUAACUUACAAAAAGGUUCUGGGCCGGAGAAGGGGCGACGUUCGGGCACCCCCCGAAUGGACAAUCUUUCCUUCUGUCAACGGCAGGGGCAGGCCUAGUUUGACUCUGACAGUCCUCCCACUAAGGUAGGUGUGAGUACUUGCCCAGACCGUGAGGGAGAUUUGGGGGGCUCUGGCCUGCAGCCCAGGGAGGGCCGAACCCCAAACACGCCGGGCUGGUUCUGCGGCCCCGCCCC